rnacentral:tRNA from 1 species
GUCGGGAUAGCUCAGUGUAGCAA